rnacentral:rRNA from 1 species
CCUACGGGAGGCAGCAGUGGGGAAUAUUGCACAAUGGGGGAAACCCUGAUGCAGCAACGCCGCGUGAAGGAAGACGGUCUUCGGAUUGUAAACUUCUGUUCUUCGGGAAGAAUAAUGACGGUAGCUAAGGAGCAAGCCACGGCUAACUACGUGCCAGCAGCCGCGGUCAUACGUAGGUGGCAAGCGUUGACCGGAAUUACUGGGUGUAACGGGAGCGCAGGCGGGAAGCCAAGUCAACUGUGAAAACUACGGGCUUAACUUGUAGACUGCAGUUGAAACUGGUUUUCUUGAGUGAAGUAGAAGUAGGCGGAAUGCGGGGUGUAGCGGUGAAAUGCAUAGAUAUUAGGAAGAACACCGAUGGCGAAGGCAGCCAACUGGGC